CACCUUUAAGAUUAAGCGUUCUUAUCCAGAGGUCACAAAAUCAUUGUCUUCAACACUUGAAUGUAUCCACCAUAUCAAAAUAUUGCAUCCAAAUUUGGAAUGGUCAAAGAAAAACCAAGGUAUUGUCAAAGAAGAGGUAAGUGAAUAUUAUUCACAACAUAUUCAGUUUUCUAACAUGUUAUUUGUAUAUGUGCAGUUCCAAAGUAUGGAUUUUAUAAAAUUAUAUAGUAGAAGGCAUUAAAAGUAACAAGGCAGUAAAACGGAGUGGUUGUCCCCUUCACUAAUUCUGCAACA